GCCUGAGAAACCAUGAGAAGUUAGUGGAGAGUAACUCAUGCUCCAGCAUGGCACGUACCUUUGGAGGACCCAAGGUUAUGUCUGAAGUUGCAGAAGCCUAUUUUUUGGCAGGAGGAGGAGUGGGGGGAAGAACGUAAACAAGGAAGCUUGUGAGUGGUGCUUCCAGUUGCCCGAUUUGAACAGCUUUGGGAGAAGUUCCUCUCCUGGUGUUUCCCACAGCAGAGCAGGGCGAACGUGCUUUCUCACGGGACUGCGGCUCCCGGGAGGAGAGGCCAGAGCAGCGUGGACCGAGGCUUUUGGCGGGCCCACGCUGCCGGGGAAGUCUCACCCUCUGCCGUAGAUAGAGGAGCAAAAUUGCUAAAAUUCCAGAAGACUGGCACUAUCAUCCAUGCAAUCAGUUCUGUAGAGAGCUUUCCUCACCUGCAACAGAGGAAUAAUCACAGCUUUUAUGUCCUUAACUUCACUGUGAUGACUAAAGAAGAAAACUUAAUUUAAAAAAAGGUAUAAAUGUUUUGUAAUGAUGUUAGGUCCACUAUAUUCCAAUGCUUCAGGGUAUCUUCAUCCCUAUUUAUUGAGUCCCAAAUACUCAACAAACUAUACAUAUACUCAUUCUAUUCUUUGUAAUAAAGUUUUUCAUAAUUUUAUGGAAAAUCCUCCC
rnacentral:lncRNA from 1 species